rnacentral:rRNA from 1 species
GUGCCAGCCGCCGCGGUAAUACGGAAGGUCCGGGCGUUAUCCGGAUUUAUUGGGUUUAAAGGGAGCGCAGGCGGAAGGAUAAGCGUGACGUGAAAUAUGGCGGCUCAACCGUCGGACUGCGUCGCGAACUGUUUUUCUUGAGUGGGUUCGACGUAGGCGGAAUUCGUGGUGUAGCGGUGAAAUGCUUAGAUAUCACGAAGAACCCCGAUUGCGAAGGCAGCCUACGAGGCCUUUACUGACGCUAAUGCUCGAAGGUGCGGGUAUCGAACAGGAUUAGAUACCCUGGUAGUCCGCACGGUAAACGAUGGAUGCCCGCUGUAUGCGAUACAUUGUAUGCGGCCAAAGCGAAAGCGUUAAGCAUCCCACCUGGGGAGUACGCCGGCAACGGUGAAACUCAAAGGAAUUGACGGGGGCCCGCACAAGCGGAGGAACAUGUGGUUUAAUUCGAUGAUACGCGAGGAACCUUACCCGGGCUUGAACUGCAGAGGAAGGAUUGAGAGAUCAUGACGCCCUUCGGGGUCUCUGUGGAGGUGCUGCAUGGUUGUCGUCAGCUCGUGCCGUGAGGUGUCGGCUUAAGUGCCAUAACGAGCGCAACCCCUUUCCCCGGUUGCCAUCGGGUCAUGCCGGGCACUCCGUGGACACUGCCACCGCAAGGUGCGAGGAAGGUGGGGAUGACGUCAAAUCAGCACGGCCCUUACGUCCGGGGCUACACACGUGUUACAAUGGGUGGUACAGAGAGUCGGCGCAUGGCAAUAUGCGUCCAAUCAAAAAAGCCGUCCUCAGUUCGGACUGGGGUCUGCAACCCGACCCCACGAAGCUGGAUUCGCUAGUAAUCGCGCAUCAGCCAUGGCGCGGUGAAUACGUUCCCGGGCCUUGUACACACCGCCCGU